GUGCUUCCUUGAAUCUCAAGCGGGAGUCUAGUUCCGGCACCACCCUUGACCCUUCUCGCGGCAUCGCAGGCUCGUGCGUAGUAGCGAAGGGGAUACACUCAAGCGGAGCCGGGGUCACGCUGGGGCGGCGCGCUCUAGUUGUGCGGGGUCGUUGGCAUUGGUGCCUGGGCCCGGAGGAUGGUGGGGUCGCGCGUGCCAGGCGAAUCAGGCGACUGGUGUCGGCGGCUGUGAUCUCCAGGGGAGACCAGUAGACUGUAGACUGGAGCGAGAUGCAGGGGACCGGGGACGCUGUCCGCGUCCUCGUCGUCGAAGCAGCACCAGCGUCCGGCCGUGCCCGCGCGCCUUUG
rnacentral:lncRNA from 1 species